UAUGGGCCAAGAAUGAUGAUCAAUUAUCACAGAUAUGGCUGUGAAAAAUGGUGGUGAAAAUAAACUGCAGCCUUACCAGCUAAUGAUGCUGAGAUCAAUAUGGGACUAGUUCUAGGAAGUCAGCGUGAAACGCCUGAAGUUUCCUGCCUCCAGACUCCACUCUCCUACCUCAAUUCUACUCCCUACUUUUAUGAGCUCGACUCACAUUUGAUGGCAUAGAAGACUUAAUUUCCUCCUCAUGAUUAAUCUCUCAGUUGGAGGGUAUACUCACUCUUACAAAGAAUCCAGGACGAAAGCCCUCAUCAGAUGCUGACAACAUGAUCUUGGACUUCCCAGCCUCC